rnacentral:rRNA from 1 species
AUUUAUUAAAGGGCUGCAGUAUUUUGACUGUACAAAGGUAGCAUAAUCAUUAGUCUCUUAAUUGGUGACUUGUAUGAAGGAUUGGAUGAAAUAUAAACUGUUUCUUAAUUAAAAAUUGAAUUUAAUUUUUUAGUUAAAAAGCUAAAAUAUUUUUAAAAGACGAGAAGACCCUAUAAAGUUUAAUAAAUUAUUUAUUUAAGAUUAUUUAUAUAAAUGAAUUGAUUUGAUUUAAAUAAAAAAAUUUAUUUUAUUGGGGUGAUAGAAAAAUAAAGUUAACUUUUUUUAUAUUUUUACAUUAAUAUAUGAAUAAAUGAUCCAUAAAUUAUGAUUAUAAGAUAAAAUUACUUUAGGGAUAACAGCGUAAUUUUUUUUUUUAGUACAUAUAAGAAAAAAAGUUUGCGACCUCGAUGUUGGAUUAAGAUAAAAUUUAAAUGCAAAAGUUUAAAAUUUUUGAUCUGUUCGAUCAUUAAAAUCUUACGUGAUCUGAGUUCA